UGGGGAAUUUUGGACAAUGGGGGCAACCCUGAUCCAGCAAUGCCGCGUGAGUGAAGAAGGCCUUCGGGUUGUAAAGCUCUUUUGUCAGGGAAGAAACGGUUCGGGCUAAUAUCCUGGGCUAAUGACGGUACCUGAAGAAUAAGCACCGGCUAACUUCGUGCCAGCAGCCGCGGUAAUACGAAGGGUGCAAGCGUUACUCGGAAUUACUGGGCGUAAAGCGUGCGUAGGUGGUUUGUUAAGUCUGAUGUGAAAGCCCUGGGCUCAACCUGGGAAUUGCAUUGGAUACUGGCAGGCUAGAGUGCGGUAGAGGAUGGCGGAAUUCCCGGUGUAGCAGUGAAAUGCGUAGAGAUCGGGAGGAACAUCUGUGGCGAAGGCGGCCAUCUGGACCAGCACUGACACUGAGGCACGAAAGCGUGGGGAGCAAA
rnacentral:rRNA from 1 species